rnacentral:rRNA from 1 species
ACUCCUACGGGAGGCAGCAGUAGGGAAUUUUUCGCAAUGGAGGAAACUCUGACGGAGCAAUACCGCGUGUGGGAAGAAGAUUUUCGGAUUGUAAACCACUGUUGUAAGGGGAAGAACGUUAUUAGUAGGAAAUGGCUAAUAAGUGACGGUACCUUACCAGAAAGGGACGGCUAACUACGUGCCAGCAGCCGCGGUAAUACGUAGGUCCCGAGCGUUAUCCGGAAUUAUUGGGCGUAAAGGGCACGUAGGCGGACAAAUAAGUUUGAUGUCAAAUAUGAUGGCUCAACCAUCAAGAGGCGUUGAAAACUGUUUAUCUAGAAUCUCGGAGAGGUAAGUGGAAUUCCAU